rnacentral:rRNA from 1 species
UACGUAGGGAGCAAGCGUUGUCCGGAAUCAUUGGGCGUAAAGCGCGCGUAGGCGGCCCCGUAAGUCCGCUGUGAAAGUCAAAGGCUCAACCUUUGAAAGCCGGUGGAUACUGUGGGGCUAGAGUACGGAAGAGGCGAGUGGAAUUCCUGGUGUAGCGGUGAAAUGCGCAGAUAUCAGGAGGAACACCGGUGGCGAAGGCGGGUCUCUGGGCCGAUACUGACGCUGAGGAGCGAAAGCGUGGGGAGCGAACGGG